AAUCAACGCUGGCGGCGUGCCUAACACAUGCAAGUCGAGCGCGAAAGUCCCGCAAGGGAUUAGUAGAGUGGCAAACGGGUGAGUAACACGUGGGUGACCUGCCUUCGAGUGGGGGAUAACGUCCCGAAAGGGACGCUAAUACCGCAUGACAUCCUGUCUUUGGAAAGACGGAGAUCAAAGCUGGGGAUCGCAAGACCUGGCGCUUGAAGGAGGGGCCCGCGCCUGAUUAGCUAGUUGGUAGGGUAACGGCCUACCAAGGCAACGAUCAGUAUCCGGCCUGAGGAGGGCGGACGGACACACUGGGACUGAGACACGGCCCAGACUCCUACGGGAGGCAGCAGUGGGGAAUUGUUCGCAAUGGGCGCAAGCCUGACGACGCAACGCCGCGUGGAGGAUGAAGACC
rnacentral:rRNA from 1 species